rnacentral:rRNA from 1 species
CCUACGGGUGGCAGCAGUGAGGAAUAUUGGUCAAUGGGCGCGAGCCUGAACCAGCCAAGUAGCGUGAAGGAUGACUGCCCUACGGGUUGUAAACUUCUUCUAUAAGGGAAUAAAGUGAGGCACGUGUGCCAUUUUGUAUGUACUUUAUGAAUAAGGAUCGGCUAACUCCGUGCCAGCAGCCGCGGUAAUACGGAGGAUCCGAGCGUUAACCGGAUUUAUUGGGCUUAAAGGGAGCGUAGAUGGGUUGUUAAGUUAGUUGUGAAAGUUUGCGGCUCAACCGUAAAAUUGCAAUUGAUACUGGCAGCCUUGAGUACAGUAGAGGUAGGCGGAAUUCGUGGUGUAGCGGUGAAAUGCGUAGAUAUCACGAAGAACUCCGAUGGCGAAGGCAGCCUACUAGACUGCCACUGACAUUGAGGCUCGAAAGUGUGGGUAUCAAACAGGAUUAGAUACCCCAGUAGUC